AGGUAACAGGAGGGUGAGCUGCUGGUUGGUGUAUCCAUGGCUCUCGUUUGUCAGGAUUGACUGCAUCAUUGGAAAGGUAUGGAUUGGUAAGUGUUCUGAACCAGCCCAGUGCUCAGCUUAGGAAGACCCUUAUCCUUGCUUCCAGAAGCUCGCCGUGCACGGAUGGGGAAGAUCAAUGUGUCCCCAGGUCUCUCAUUCAGCAGGUCUGGAGAAUUUGCAGGCCUAAGGACUCCCGGGUGCUUCUGAUCCUGCUCGUCCCAGAACCACCCUUUGAGAACUGCUGGGUCACAGAGAGGAGGGGCUGGACGCAAGGAGACCAGCUGGAA